rnacentral:rRNA from 1 species
GACGAACGCUGGCGGCGUGCUUAACACAUGCAAGUCGAACGGAAAGGCCCUGCUUUUGUGGGGUGCUCGAGUGGCGAACGGGUGAGUAACACGUGAGUAACCUGCCCUUGACUUUGGGAUAACUUCAGGAAACUGGGGCUAAUACCGGAUAGGAGCUCCUGCUGCAUGGUGGGGGUUGGAAAGUUUCGGCGGUUGGGGAUGGACUCGCGGCUUAUCAGCUUGUUGGUGGGGUAGUGGCUUACCAAGGCUUUGACGGGUAGCCGGCCUGAGAGGGUGACCGGCCACAUUGGGACAGAGAUACGGCCCAGACUCCUACGGGGGGCAGCAGUGGGGAAUAUUGCACAAUGGGCGGAAGCCUGAUGCAGCAACGCCGCGUGCGGGAUGACGGCCUUCGGGUUGUAAACCGCUUUCGCCUGUGACGAAGCGUGAGUGACGGUAAUGGGUAAAGAAGCACCGGCUAACUACGUG